UACAGAGGGGGCAAGCGUUGUUCGGAAUUACUGGGCGUAAAGGGCGCGUAGGCGGCUUUCUAAGUCGGACGUGAAAUCCCCGGGCUCAACCCGGGAACUGCGUCCGAUACUGGAAGGCUUGAAUCCGGGAGAGGGAUGUGGAAUUCCAGGUGUAGCGGUGAAAUGCGUAGAUAUCUGGAGGAACACCGGUGGCGAAGGCGACAUCCUGGACCGGUAUUGACGCUGAGGCGCGAAAGCCAGGGGAGCAAACGGG
rnacentral:rRNA from 1 species